AUCGCGGGUUAACAGCCCAGGAUGUUGACUUGAGCUGGCUUGGUCGGCUACAGGUGAGACGGUUUAAAGUCUCACAAUCACCUUAGAGGUUAAUCAGAAUAACUGGGAUCAGCCACGGACACCUGGUGAGCGAUUAGCCCGCAGAGUGACUACAAUCCUGAAAGAUACUUGAGAAACUGUUUAACAGGCAACUCUAAUUUGAGGUUACCGCUGGAUAUUUGAGACUGUAAAAAAUAUAUUAACCUUAAAAUACCAGAGAUUAGGUCAAUAACUAAAAUCAUCUCAACAAAAUGUCGCCUUUUAUCAGUAAUGACUGCUGUGUGGCUGUUACCAAUGCACAUACUUUCAAGUUAGAGGAAAUGGAAACUGAAAUCAAAAGAAAACAAAAACCUACAAAGCCGGAGAAGUAAGCUAAGGUAGACAUGAUUCUCCAGGCAGCCUUGCUAAGUAAUUGACUAGACAUUCGAGAACUAUUAAAAAUACCUGCUCUGUGCAGAACAGUGUGCAACGGUGAUGUGGGGACAUUUUAAAAUAUGGAUGUGUAAGGCUCAGUUCCUGUAGGUUCAGGGGUGAGCUCUGGCAUUCAUAUUUUUGAAAAGCUCCCAGAUGAUUCUGAUGUGUGCCAGGGUUGGUCACCAGGGUCACAAUGCCGUCUACACAAAGAUGAGUGAAGGCUCUUCCCUCAUGCUACCUGCAUUCUAGGAGUAUCCUAGUAGACAGGUAAACAAAUGGGAAUGCCACUUUGGGAUAAAUGAAAUGACAGGCAGCUGUGGAGGCACAGAGAAACUGGGGAUUAGCCCUCUGAGUAAUUCAGGAACAGGGACAUUUGAGAAUGAGCCACCAAAGACAUAGGAAUUCACCAAGAAGAAGGAGAUGCUAUGGCAGAGGCUUGUCACUUAAAAUGACAUGGUGUGUACUUAAUUCCAGGGGUUGUCAUGUGGCUGGAGCACCCCAGUCCUAGGUCAGCAAGACAGUUAGGAGCUGGACUGUCUUCCUUAUAUUAUUGGUGCUUAGAACAAAAAGACACAUACAGGUUUGAUAGCUAAUGAAAGAAUGAAAUUGAAGGGUGGGCCAGGGUGGGACAGGAGAGGAGAAAAUAAUGACAAGGAACAUGGUAGGAAAGUCAGUCAGGAUUUCUAUGCCAUCCUAAGACAUUAGGGUUUUGUAGAGUAGGCCAGAGUUUCACAAAUUU
rnacentral:lncRNA from 10 species